UACGGAGGGGGCUAGCGGUGGUCGGAAUUACUGGGCGUAAAGCGCACGUAGGCGGAUUGUUAAGUCGGGGGUGAAAUCCCGGGGCUCAACCCCGGAACUGCCUAAGAUACUGGCGAUCUUGAGGUCUGGAGAGGUGAGUGGAAUGGCGAGUGUAGAGGUGAAAUUCGUAGAUAUUCGCCGGAACACCAGUGGAGAAGGCGGCUCACUGGCCCGAUACUGACGCUGAGGUGCGAAAGCGUGGGGAGCAAACAGG
rnacentral:rRNA from 1 species